ensembl:rRNA 5_8S_rRNA 5.8S ribosomal RNA
AACACUUAGCGGUGGAUCACUCAGCUCGUGCAUCGAUGAAGAACGCAGCCAGCUGUGGGAACUAAUGUGAAUUGCAGGACACAUUGAUCAUUGACACUUCGAACGCACAUUGCGGCCCUGGGUCCAUCCCAGGGCUACGCCUGUCUGAGGGUUG